rnacentral:rRNA from 1 species
CACUGGAACUGAGACACGGUCCAGACUCCUACGGGAGGCAGCAGUGGGGAAUAUUGCACAAUGGGCGCAAGCCUGAUGCAGCCAUGCCGCGUGUAUGAAGAAGGCCUUCGGGUUGUAAAGUACUUUCAGCGAGGAGGAAGGCAUUAAGGUUAAUAACCUUAGUGAUUGACGUUACUCGCAGAAGAAGCACCGGCUAACUCCGUGCCAGCAGCCGCGGUAAGCCGAAUUCCACACACUA